rnacentral:tRNA from 1 species
UGGGCUUUAGUUUAAAAGAAUGUUUAACUGUUAAUUAGAAGGUGCAAAUAAUAUGCAGGCCUAG